rnacentral:rRNA from 1 species
UGGCUCAGGACGAACGCUGGCGGCAUGCCUAAUACAUGCAAGUCGUGCGAACAAAGGAGAUGCUUGCAUCUCCCUCGUUAGCGGCGGAUGGGUGAGUAACACGUGGGCAACCUGCCCUGUAGACUGGGAUAACUCGCGGAAACGUGAGCUAAUACCGGAUAAUCCUUCGAACCUCAUGGUUCGAUGUUAAAAGACGGUUUCGGCUGUCACUACAGGAUGGGCCCGCGGCGCAUUAGCUAGUUGGUGAGGUAACUGCUCACCAAGGCAACGAUGCGUAACCGGCCUGAGAGGGCGAACGGUCACACUGGGACUGAGACACGGCCCAGACUCCUACGGGAGGCAGCAGUAGGGAAUCUUCCACAAUGGACGAAAGUCUGAUGGAGCAAUGCCGCGUGAGUGAUGAAGGAUUUCGGUUCGUAAAACUCUGUUGCGAGGGAAGAACAAGUGUAAAGUAACUACUUACACCUUGACGGUACCUCGUUAGAAAGCCACGGCUAACUACGUG